rnacentral:rRNA from 1 species
GACGAACGCUGGCGGCGUGCCUAAUACAUGCAAGUUGAGCGAUGAAGAUUGGUGCUUGCACCAAUUUGAAGAGCAGCGAACGGGUGAGUAACGCGUGGGGAAUCUGCCUUUGAGCGGGGGACAACAUUUGGAAACGAAUGCUAAUACCGCAUAAUAACUUUAAACAUAAGUUUUAAGUUUGAAAGAUGCAAUUGCAUCACUCAAAGAUGAUCCCGCGUUGUAUUAGCUAGUUGGUGAGGUAAAGGCUCACCAAGGCGAUGAUACAUAGCCGACCUGAGAGGGGGAUCGGCCACAUUGGGACUGAGACACGGCCCAAACUCCUACGGGAGGCAGCAGUAGGGAAUCUUCGGCAAGGGACGAAAGUCUGACCGAGCAACGCCGCGGGAGGGAAGAAGGUUUUCGGAUCGUAAAACUCGGUUGGUAGAGAAGAACGUUGGUGAGAGUGGAAAGCUCAUCAAGUGACGGUAACUACCCAGAAAGGGACGGCUAACUACGUG